rnacentral:tmRNA from 12 species
GGGGCUGAUUCUGGAUUCGACGGGAUUUGCGAAACCCAAGGUGCAUGCCGAGGGGCGGUUGGCCUCGUAAAAAGCCGCAAAAAAAUAGUCGCAAACGACGAAAACUACGCUUUAGCAGCUUAAUAACCUGCUUAGAGCCCUCUCUCCCUAGCCUCCGCUCUUAGGACGGGGAUCAAGAGAGGUCAAACCCAAAAGAGAUCGCGCGGAUGCCUUGCCUGGGGUUGAAGCGUUAAAACGAAUCAGGCUAGUCUGGUAGUGGCGUGUCCGUCCGCAGGUGCCAGGCGAAUGUAAAGACAGACUAAGCAUGUAGUACCGAGGAUGUAGGAAUUUCGGACGCGGGUUCAACUCCCGCCAGCUCCACCA